rnacentral:rRNA from 1 species
CCUACGGGAGGCAGCAGUGGGGAAUAUUGGGCAAUGGGCGCAAGCCUGACCCAGCAACGCCGCGUGAAGGAAGAAGGCUUUCGGGUUGUAAACUUCUUUUCUGAGGGACGAAGAAAGUGACGGUACCUCAGGAAUAAGCCACGGCUAACUACGUGCCAGCAGCCGCGGUAAUACGGAGGUCGCAAGAGUUAUCCGGAUUUAUUGGGUGUAAAGGGCGUGUAGGCGGGAAAGCAAGUCAGUUGUGAAAACUCAGGGCUCAACCCUGAGCCUGCAGUUGAAACUGUUUGUCUUGAGUGCAGGAGAGGCAAUCGGAAUUCGGGGUGUAGCGGUGAAAUGCGUAGAUAUACGGAGGAACACCAGUGGCGAAGGCGGAUUGCUGGACAGUAACUGACGCUGAGGCGCGAAAGCGUGGGGAGCAAACAGGAUUAGAUACCCUUGUAGUC